UCAGUCGUAAACUUUAAAUUACCUCCUACUCGCCCGGGAACUACGAGCCAUGCUUAAAACCCAAAGGACUUGACGGUACCCCAUAUCCCCCUAGAGGAGCCUGUCCUAUAAUCGACACCCCCCGUUCAACCUCACCAUUUCUAGCAACAUCAGCCGGAAUGGGAAGAGAUGGGCUACACUAUCUAACCUAGAUAACACGAAAAACUACUUAUGAAACCUAGUCAGAAGGCGGAUUUAGAAGUAAAAUGGAAUCAGAGCGUCCAUUUUAACCCGGUUC
rnacentral:rRNA from 1 species